AUUGAACGCUGGCGGCAGGCCUAACACAUGCAAGUCGAGCGGAUGAAGGGAGCUUGCUCCUGGAUUCAGCGGCGGACGGGUGAGUAAUGCCUAGGAAUCUGCCUGGUAGUGGGGGAUAACGUCCGGAAACGGGCGCUAAUACCGCAUACGUCCUGAGGGAGAAAGUGGGGGAUCUUCGGACCUCACGCUAUCAGAUGAGCCUAGGACGGAUUAGCUAGUUGGUGGGGUAAAGGCCUACCAAGGCGACGAUCCGUAACUGGUCUGAGAGGAUGAUCAGUCACACUGGAACUGAGACACGGUCCAGACUCCUACGGGAGGCAGCAGUGGGGAAUAUUGGACAAUGGGCGAAAGCAUGAUCCAGCCAUGCCGCGUGUGUGAAGAAGGUCUUCGGAUUGUAAAGCACUUUAAGUUGGGAGGAAGGGCAGUAAGUUAAUACCUUGCUGUUUUGACGUUACCAACAGAAUAAGCACCGGCUAACUUCGUG
rnacentral:rRNA from 1 species